rnacentral:rRNA from 1 species
GAUGAACGCUGGCGGCGUGCCUAAUACAUGCCAGUCGAGCGAACGGACGAGAAGCUUGCUUCUCUGAUGUUAGCGGCGGACGGGUGAGUAACACGUGGAUAACCUACCUAUAAGACUGGGAUAACUUCGGGAAACCGGAGCUAAUACCGGAUAAUAUUUUGAACCGCAUGGUUCAAAAGUGAAAGACGGUCUUGCUGUCACUUAUAGAUGGAUCCGCGCUGCAUUAGCUAGUUGGUAAGGUAACGGCUUACCAAGGCAACGAUGCAUAGCCGACCUGAGAGGGUGAUCGGCCACACUGGAACUGAGACACGGUCCAGACUCCUACGGGAGGUAGCAGUAGGGAAUCUUCCGCAAUGGGCGAAAGCCUGACGGAGCAACGCCGCGUGAGUGAUGAAGGUCUUCGGAUCGUAAAACUCUGUUAUUAGGGAAGAACAUAUGUGUAAGUAACUGUGCACAUCUUGACGGUACCUAAUCAGAAAGCCACGGCUAACUACGUG